rnacentral:sRNA from 1 species
AGCUGUUACUGGAAACCAGCACGGGUGUUGAGAAAAAACUCUACGCCCGUGAAGUAUAUUCAGGGUAAUAAAAGAAUG